rnacentral:lncRNA from 1 species
AGAAUGUCUCUGCUGAGCUGUAAUGCAUGUGAUCAUUCAUUUUCCUGUCUGUUGUGUCUCGUGAUUCUUCUUCCAGUCUUUGCAAUGAUGUGUUUUUUUUGUUUUGUUUUGUUUUGUUUUUGCAUUUCUAUGAUUCUUAUGUGUUUAUGCAAUAUGGCACGAGGAAGAGAGAACAUACUCUAUUCUUCUUUCUCGCACAGAUGCCACUAUGUUUAACAAGCCAAAAUGGUGGCUGGCUGCCUAGCUCUGGAAUGGCUAAUGGAGCAAAUAACUACAAAGCAAGUUGGACAGCAGAUUUACAGCACACCUGCCAUUCCAGGUUAAUGGCUGGUGUGGGUACUCUCACCCUAGUGUAAAUUCCAGGUAGCUUACUCCACUUUGAUAAAGAGUAGCUUCUUUCUAUUUGACAUGGGAUGUGGGCAGCUAACUAGUAAGUCUGUAUCAUUCCUUGUCUUGCGUUAACUUGGUUGUUUACUCUGUCUUUCUUUCUGUAAGCCAGAUUGGAUAAACUGAUAGGCUUAAUGUGAUCUGGCUCCAAAAAGAGCAUACUAAGAAAUAUUGUAGUACAGGUUCGACUAUAUAUCCUUUUCUACAUUUCGUAAAGUAAGAAUUAUAUCUUGCAUGUUGGCAAAUACUUAAAAUAAUUGAAAGUCAAAUCUUCUCUCCCCCUCGGCAUGCAUGGAAGCUGCUCAAAGUUCUUGACAACUCAAACUUUAUGGGCAGAACUUGGGUAGAAUCCUUCCCUCAAAUUCUGGGUCAUUUGAUACAGCUUAAAAAAAGAGAGAGAGAUUGUGUUGUGAGAAUGCAUGCAUAGAUGCACAUCAUGUCUGGACACGUAAAUAAAACCAGCUUGAGAGAUUAGCAGUUCCACGGGGAAAAAAAUCACAUUGCGUUUCUGCAGUGCUGCUGUUUUGAGUCCAUCUCCUGCUACACUGUUUUCUUAGAUCUAUUUAUGAUAUAUUUGAUUAUUCAUGGCUUGAGUCUCAUUUUGAUCUUGAAUAUAAUGGCCUUACAAAAUGUGCAUUUCUGUAGGCAUGGUCAUGAGUGCAGUACUUCUGUUUCUGACUAUGCAGAUUUCUCUUUCUCAAGAUUUGCAUACGUGAGAUACUGCCAGUUCUGCUAAAGUCAUCGCUUAGUCCAAGGCUCCACAGAAUUUUGCCACAAAAGUAUGUGUUUGUGUAAAAAUGUUUCUGCUGUACACAGAUUUGAAAUUGAAAUUAUAUUUAUAAUAAUUUGCUAACAGUUCCAGAGCUCUUGGACCAACCAUACAAUUAUUUGAUGCCGCAUAAUUGAUAUCAUUUUACUUAUCCUCAUCUCUAGCUGUGAGCGUUGUUGGAUUCUUUUAGCACUUUGCUCAGUGUAAAAGAACAAAAACAAAUUCUGUAUGUGUGCAUACAUGAGUGUAUCUAUGUACAUAUACUUGAGUUCUUAGCAGGUUCUUUCAGGGUGUGAAGUAAAUGAUAUUUCUUUGACGUGAGGUUGGCAGGAACUAAUAGCAUAGUUCCUACAACUCAAGCACUGUAAUGAAGCAAUUUUCACUGAUCUAUAGAUCCAAUAUCAGUCUUGUAUACAUGGAUAGUACUUGUCAGUCAUUUUAGACGUAGAGUGAUGGACAAGCCAGAGCUGUUUCUCCCAGCGUAAUAAAUUGAGGUAGCAGCCAUAGAUUCUGAGGGGAGGAACCUCAACUUGGAGGAGCUGAGAAAUGAUGUUGUCUUCUAGUGGGAAGCAGUGUGAGUAAUCUGCUCCAGGUAAGUCUCUGAAGUCAUUGCAAUCACAUACUUUAAGAGAACUCUUAAUAAGUAAAUAAAAGUUUAUCUACAGAUUCAAAAGCAUGGGCUAUUUGAGUAUAUGACCAUUACCUACUUCCAGCUCCAGAUCAGGAGGAAAAGAUGAAGGCAAAAUAAAAAUACUGCACAUUUUUUUCAGGUUAAUCUUGUUUCUUUAGAGUAAGCAUUUGAUCCCAGGUGCUGGGAAGACAGGUAAGAAAGGAGUAAACAACUGUUCUGCUUAAAGACCUCACUCUUAAAAAUGUUUUUGAGCACACUUGCUGUCCUUUAAAAACUUGAGUAAAAUUUUUCAUGGUACAUAAAAUUAAGCCUUGCUUCAUGUUAACAUGGGAUCAGUCAUCGUGUGUAAACAGUAUUUGAAUCAGAUCUGUUUCACUUGAAAUUGAAGAGAAUGGGGAGGUCAUGAAGGAUCUGGGUAGUGCACUCAGCUUGAAAGCACAGGCUAUGACAAUUUGGCACUUGGAGCAAGUCACCACCAUGACAUUUCAGUGUGUUGUGCUCUGACAGGUCUCCCUUUUGCUAGUGUAAGCAGUCAGAGCUCUGGAAAUCACGGUGGCUCCUGUUUACAUCACCAGAGUGUGUUUAACCCUAAAGAACAGAAAAAAAUACUUGCUUUCUGCCAAUAUCCCAUGAGGAUGAGGGAAAUGUGUGGGAUGCUGCUUUUGCAUAAGGUGUUAAUGCUUUUGUAAACAACAAAAAUAAACAUUACUUUUUUUC